rfam:Otolemur garnettii contig053794, whole genome shotgun sequence.
GUCGGGUGUUGUGGCUGGCACCUGUAGUCCCAGCUACUAUGGAGGCUGAGGCAGGAGAAUCACCUAAGCCCAGGAGUUGGAGGGUUGCUGUGAGCUGUGAUAGCACAGCACUCUACUGAGGGCAAUAAAGUGAGACUCUUAUCUCUUUUUUUUUUUUUUUUUUUUGAGACAGAGCCUCAAGCUGUCGCCCUGGGUAGAGUGCUGUGGCAUCGCAGCUCACAGCAACCUCCAACUCCUGGGCUUUAAGCAAUUCUCCUGCCUCUG